rnacentral:rRNA from 1 species
UGGGGAAUAUUGCACAAUGGGCGCAAGCCUGAUGCAGCCAUGCCGCGUGUAUGAAGAAGGCCUUCGGGUUGUAAAGUACUUUCAGCGAGGAGGAAGGCGGUAAGGUUAAUAACCUUAUCGAUUGACGUCACUCGCAGAAGAAGCACCGGCUAACUCCGUGCCAGCAGCCGCGGUAAUACGGAGGGUGCAAGCGUUAAUCGGAAUUACUGGGCGUAAAGCGCACGCAGGCGGUCUGUCAAGUCGGAUGUGAAAUCCCCGGGCUCAACCUGGGAACUGCAUUCGAAACUGGCAGGCUAGAGUCUUGUAGAGGGGGGUAGAAUUCCAGGUGUAGCGGUGAAAUGCGUAGAGAUCUGGAGGAAUACCGGUGGCGAAGGCGGCCCCCUGGACAAAGACUGACGCUCAGGUGCGAAAGCGUGGGGAGCAAACA